rnacentral:tRNA from 1 species
GGGGUUGUGGCUCAGUGGUAGAGCAUGCACCGAGCACAUGUGAGGCCCUGGGUUCUAUCCUCAGCACCACA